rnacentral:miRNA from 1 species
ACAGCAGCCUGUGUUCUCACCU